rnacentral:rRNA from 1 species
CAGAGGGUGCGAGCGUUAAUCGGAAUUACUGGGCGUAAAGCGAGUGUAGGUGGCUCAUUAAGUCACAUGUGAAAUCCCCGGCUUACUGGACUGCAUGUGAUACUGGUGGUGCUAGAAGUAUGUGAGAGGGAAGUAGAAUUCCAGGUGUAGCGGUGAAAUGCGUAGAGAUCUGGAGGAAUACCGAUGGCGAAGGCAGCUUCCUGGCAUAAUAUUGACACUGAGAUUCGAAAGCGUGGGUAGCAAACAGGAUU